UUGUACACACCGCCCGUCACACCAUGGGAGUUUGUUGCACCAGAAGUAGCUAGCCUAACUGCAAAGAGGGCGGUUACCACGGUGUGGCCGAUGACUGGGGUGAAGUCGUAACAAGGUAGCCGUAGGGGAACCUGCGGCUGGAUCACCUCCUUA
rnacentral:rRNA from 1 species